AUGCUUAUCUUUGCCAGAGCACUUGUCAUACGCUAUUGGAAUGAUCUGUUUAUGUAAUUUUGAAUCCUCCCUCCUCCACCUUCACACUUCAUUGCAAGUCUCUGUACUGUGAAAUAUAUCCUGAACAGAGGGCACCUGUAAUUUAUUUCUCACUGCUCUGUGAGUGGCUGCUGUACUCCACCUCUAUACUAAGGGUGUGGGAAGCCUGAUGAAAGAAAAAUAGCCUCUGCCCUCCAGAAGCUACCUUACUAGAGAAGGGAACAAACUUAACAUAAAUCUACUCUUAUAAGGUGUUUGUGGUAAAUGAAAUUUAGGGAAAGUACAAGGAAGUUAUGUAUGGCAUUGAUAACAAUUUGUUGAACCGACUUGAUUUUCUAUGAAUAUAAAUUGAAAAAGCCGACGGAAUUGGGUAGUGCUACUCUAUAUUGUUAAGGGCUAUAUGAGUAAAUAAAAGGAAAAGAAGGUUUUAGUGCUUAGGUGGAUGUAGUUUAGUGGUAGAACGCGCGCUUUGCAUGUAUGAGGUCCCGGUUUCGAUCCCUGGCGUUUCCACUUUAGCAUACUGGUUGGUUACUCCUCUUUGUUUAGGCUUGGGUAGAACUUCCUGACGUCUUCAAAUACUUGGAAAUAGGUCGGUGGCUUUAAAGGUCAGAUGUAUUUAACACGGCACACUUUCAUAGUGCCAAACUUUCUCCAACUAUCAAAAUCCUGUAACUGCUAACUGCUUUAGAACACCUUUAAAUCUUACCACUCAUUAACAAAAUUGGGUUUACAUUGUUAUGACUGAAGGUACAUGAUUUGUAACCAGAAAUACAGUUAUUUGGAGCACAGUUGAAGAUGAUUCUACCCUCUCUCAGCCACGAGGAUCAUCUUAAGAGUUAGUUUUGA
rnacentral:lncRNA from 1 species